UUUGUUGUCGUCCAGUGGUUAGGAUAUCUGGCUUUCACCCAGGAGACCCGGGUUAAAUUCCCGGGAAUGGAA
rfam:Ipomoea nil DNA, scaffold: scaffold2144, cultivar: Tokyo-kokei standard.